AUUCAGUGACCAGGCUGAGUGUGCUUGUGAGCAGUGGGAGCAGUGCAUUGGCAUCCAGCCUGCUGCUGAGUCCCUAAAAACGCAGGUAAAAUGAGAUAAUUCACAUUAAAUAAAAGGCAGGAGUGUUGGAUACACAGCAAUUCAGGUGGGAGCAGUGGGAGCGCUGCAUUGGCAUCCAGCCUGCUGCUGAGUCCCUAAAACCUCGGGUAAAAUGAGAUAAUUCUCAUUAAAUAAAAGGCAGGAGUGUUGGAUACACAGCAAUUAAGGUCUGACCCCCAGAGCAAACCAAACCUUCCUAUGGGAGCAAUCCCUGAGGGCUCAGCUCUGUCCCCUCGUGCUGCCAUGUAAAUCCAGAACAGUUUCCUUUGAUAAAUCUGGGAACGGGACAAAGCCACUGCAAUUAAUCAUUUAGUGAUGAAGUACGAAAGCAAAUGGAUUCGGGAUCUUUCUGGAAGGUGAAUAUGAACACAAAAAUAGAGUUGCACUGCCAGCCCCCUUUCUGCUGGAUAAAGUUUCACAUCCUUUAAAGGACACCCAGUUGUCUCCUCUGUGUAGCAAAGAUCUCCCACCUCUUUCACAAAGCUCCCAUGACUUAUCUAUUUUUGUUUUUCCCAGCUGUUGUUGUAAAAUCUGUUAUCUUUAAUGUAUUACCCUGAAAAACAACACACCUUUGAGAAGGCCAGUGGACUGUGACAUAAUUAGAUGCAAAAUGCACAUCUAAAAGCUGUUUACUUCCUGUAACACCAGGAUAACUACUAAUGAAUCACCCACUCUGGGGAUUCUCAGUUUGUAACUGGAUACUCCACAAACUUCUUAUCAGAUCAACAAUGAUUUCUGUCAAAAAAAGGGCAAAAAAAAGAAAAGUGGGGGUGGGCAGGUUUUUUUUUUCCCCCUGAAACCAGAGUUUAGCCUAUAUGCACCAAUUCUAAAGCAUUUUUAGCAUGUCAGGCAGAGUAGUCAUGGUGAGUUUGAAGGGAUAAGGGAAGAUAAAGUGUAUCAAAGCAGGAUCUGACACUCGUGAUGCUAUGCAGACCUUUCUUUCUGAGAGCAUCUCGCGGGCUGGACUGACAGCAGGGAUUAAUCCAUGCAAUGGCAAUAAACAAUAGUUGAAGUGGGGUUGAGGCCUAACACCUGGAUGUUGUGUUAGCCGCAGCCCAGGAGCCUGCUUCACGCUGGGGCUGAAUUUAUGUGAUUCUGGCACUGUUGCUUUGCCAGCGACAGAGCUGACAGAGCUUCCAAAGAGGAGUGAACGUUGUCACCUGCACUUUAGAGGAAAACCCUGCCCAGAUUUUGAGGUGUGGCCCUGCUCAGGCUGGACAGAGUGGGGAUCUCUGCUCUGCUGCUGGGUUCCAGCCCCAGCCUUUGUGUGGAGUGCAAUCAUCAGCAAUUACCCACGUGCCCAGCAUCGUGUCAGCUCCUCACAGCUCACAGCCACACCAGGGAAGGCUCCUGAGAGAAGGGUGACAAUAACGUGAUGCAAGCCCUCAGCAGCUGGAUUCUUGGCACUUCACUUGGCUUCUGAUUCUUUAAAAUGUUCUUUCCUUGGGGAAUUUUAUUUGCAUGAAAACACAGCACAAUAAUUUGAUGACUGCUCACCCUCAUGAUGUGCAGAGAAACAAAGCAGCUCAAGAGUGAGCUAAGCAAUCAGUUAUAUUUAAUUUUUUUCCUGAAAUCACACCUCUUUCACUUUUUUCCCUCUGCUGUGACUUACAAAAGUGCCUUACAGUGCAGCUGGGUUAUGCAGUAAAACGAGGAGCUCAGAGCUGCUAAAAGGACUAUUCUUCUGUGCUCUGGGGAACAAAUAAAUGUCCUGUUCUGCCAUGGCCCGAGAGCUUUUGUGCAGCUCACAGCACAAACCCCACUGCUCCCAGUGCCCAUCCCAGCAUCCCUCCUCAGAGCUCAACCUCACCAAAAUAAUUGGUGUGAAGCAAACAUGCUCAGCCCUCUGCCUUGCCUUGCAGACUGAAGGGAGAAUUGAGAAUUCCCACUUUGUUUGUGGGAAUGGAGGGAGCAGGAAAGCAGGACAGACCCCAGCUGAGGGUGGGCCAU